GACGAACGCUGGCGGCGUGCUUAACACAUGCAAGUCGAACGGAAAGGCUCCAGCUUGCUGGCGUACUCGAGUGGCGAACGGGUGAGUAACACGUGGGUAACCUGCCCUGCACUCUGGGAUAAGACUGGGAAACUGGGUCUAAUACUGGAUAUGACCUUUCUCCUUAUGGGGUUUGGUGGAAAGUUUUUCGGUGUAGGAUGAGCCCGCGGCCUAUCAGCUUGUUGGUGGGGUGAUGGCCUACCAAGGCGACGCCGGGUAGCCGGCCUGAGAGGGUGAUCGGCCACAUUGGGACUGAGAUACGGCCCAGACUCCUACGGGAGGCAGCAGUGGGGAAUAUUGCACAAUGGGCGGAAGCCUGAUGCAGCGACGCCGCGUGAGGGAUGACGGCCUUCGGGUUGUAAACCUCUUUCAGCAGGGACGAAGCGUAAGUGACGGUACCUGCAGAAGAAGCACCGGCUAACUAUGUG
rnacentral:rRNA from 1 species